UACAGAGGGGGCAAGCGUUGUUCGGAAUUACUGGGCGUAAAGGGCGCGUAGGCGGCCUUCUAAGUCGAACGUGAAAUCCCCGGGCUCAACCCGGGAACUGCGUCCGAUACUGGAAGGCUUGAAUCCGGGAGAGGGAUGCGGAAUUCCAGGUGUAGCGGUGAAAUGCUUAGAUAUCGUCAAGAACACCGAUAGUGAAGACAGCUUACUAGACUUCAACUGACGCUGAGGCACGAAAGUGUGGGGAUCAAACAGG
rnacentral:rRNA from 1 species